UAGGGAAUCUUCCGCAAUGGACGCAAGUCUGACGGAGCAACGCCGCGUGAGUGAAGAAGGAUUUCGGUUCGUAAAACUCUGUUGUUAGAGAAGAACAGCGCAUAGAGUAACUGUUAUGCGUGUGACGGUAUCUAACCAGAAAGCCACGGCUAACUACGUGCCAGCAGCCGCGGUAAUACGUAGGUGGCAAGCGUUGUCCGGAUUUAUUGGGCGUAAAGCGAGCGCAGGCGGUCAAUUAAGUCUGAUGUGAAAGCCCCCGGCUCAACCGGGGAGGGUCAUUGGAAACUGGGUGAAUUGAGUGCAGAAGAGGAGAGUGGAAUUCCAUGUGUAGCGGUGAAGUGCGUAGAUAUAUGGAGGAACACCAGUGGCGAAGGCGACUCUCUGGUCUGUAACUGACGCUGAGGCUCGAAAGCGUGGGUAGCAAACAGG
rnacentral:rRNA from 1 species